CAGGAAUCCUUGCAGCCCAGAACAGGCAUCAGCCUGGAAAGCAAACGAGAAAGUGAAACAGCAGCAGGUGGAAAAGUGAUCAGCUGCUCUGGAUGAAAAAGCUCCCGGAAGGUGCCAGCCCGUACUUCAUCUGAAGAAGAAAGAGGAAAUUGUCCUUGAAGGUGCCAUCGGGCUGAAUGCCAUGCUCCAGGCAGAAGAGUUCCCAGCACGCAUUUCCUAUCUGCACUCCAGCCUGGCCA